GGUCAUUAGAGCCCUGCUUGUGUCUUUAGCAAGGUACUGCUCUGCGAAGAAAACUCUGGACAGUGGCAUAUCUGCAAUGUGUCCCUAUAUCUUCACGAUGCUCCUAUGAGACCAGGAAAUAGAGAGCACACAGUAACAUUAAAAUAUAAACUCUGUUGUAUGACUGUUGGGCUGUGCACAGUAGAGUGGUCAUUCUUUAGAAGUACCAUUUGGACAUUUUUCAGCUAUGGAGAAAGAACCCUUUGUCCAUCAUCUUCACCGCUGGAUGUGUUUAUAUUUGUGUCGCAGACCUUGAGCUUUUGAGUCUCCAAGGGGAAUCUUGGUCAUGUUACUACAGGAUGUGCAGUGGGUCUCCUUGACUGUCUUCUGUACAUUGACAAAACAGGUGAUGCUUUCUAUAACUCGGCGUAGGUCCCUGAAGGUGUAGUUGUGUCUCUCUCCCUUUGAGUACCCAGGAUCUUCAUAUUCUCUGUGCUCACCCCAUUCUCAAAGUUUUGUAAAACUUGAUCCCCAGUCAUGGUCUGUCCACAAGUGACCAGGCAUUUGAUGUGUACUUGAGGACACCCCUGACUGGAUAUUUCCAGUUUUUACCCCAUUGUAGUGAGGAGAACAAAGACCUGGAGAUGUCAUAUUGUUCCCUAGUACAGGCCAUGCAGAAGAAAACUGGGCAACCAACAGCAGAAUUUCUGAGUGCUCGAACCCUGUCAUUUUCUACAGGUUGUCUAGCAAGCCUCUGGACAGGCAGCAUGGCAGAAAUCAACUCUUUCCAAAAAAAAGGCUGCUGCUGACACAGUGGAUAGAGCACACACAAGCUCCCUGUCUGACUCCUUCAGCUCCUGCAUGUCUCCUUGGCUAACAUUUCAGAGCUUCUGAUUCUUCAGACAUCAGCUUCUUGAUACUGAAGAGAUUGUUCUACCUGAUGAGCCCAGGCCUAGAAGAUGGACUGCAUCCAAGAAGCCUGGUCCAUCUAAGGCCAAGUCACAUCUUUAAGAAAUAUUUGAAAGCAUUUGUGCACAGGAUAAAGGUGCAAGGACCAAAGUCUCCUUAGACUUUCCAGCAUACAGAGGGUCUGACAGACUCAGGUCAAAGGUUACGUCUGAAGCCUAGAUUAUGAAGAAGGCCCCACUCCACAGUAGAAGCCUGUGGCUGAUGCUGUUGCAACCAGGACUAUGAUUGUGAAACUUUUGUCUGUUCAGGAUAGCAGGUUCAGGAAUCUUGUGCCCAGGUAUCCACAGGCCUUUUUUCAUACAUUUCUUGGUAUAAUUUUGCAAGUCCUGACUUUGGACAUGUCGGGUGCUGAUGGUAUCUCACUUGAUAUAUAGUCCAAGAAAGAUUUUUACCCCUUUAAGGGGCUGGAAAUAGACUGGCCUCACAGUUACCAUUAAAACUGAAGUUCUGUC
rnacentral:sRNA from 1 species